CAGAAGAGAAUAAGGAACUUUUAGAUUUCGUGAAUCAAACAUGAAACUUGUAAGGGGAAUCUUCCUCACCUAACUUACUGUUAUCAAUCACGGCUUUGGUAGGGGUCUUUUUAAAGCGACGUUUUCUUUACUACUGUGCAUAAAGUUUCGGGCAUGUUGGUCAUAUUCCUGGUUAUAAUUUUUUGGCGCCAAAAUGAGGAGAAUCAGGGUCCUGAGGUUUUCUGCAAACCCUAACUCUCAAAUGCUUCAUCUUCAAUCGUAAAUGGCGGGCUCUGAAAACCCAGAUUCUCGAAUGCUUCUGAUAAGAAUCAAGCAUUCAACCUUACCCAAAUCUAUAAUGGCGCCCUCUGCGACAACUGAUUGGCCUUCUCCAUCUGAAAUUGGUGAUAAUGCCCUCCAGCCUUGCUUUGUUCUCCACAAGGCUUUGCCUCGAAAAUAUGAGAAAAGGUCAAAGGAAUUUAACAGUGAUGAGGAUGAAAGUUCAUAUGAGAAGUUGCGCAGCGAAGCUUUCAAUUUAGUGUGGUCUAGAAUUGAGACUGCAAUCAAGGAUGUUUUAAAGCAUAGUACUUCUCACCUUUUCAAAGAACUACACAAUUGGGUUCAUGAGUCCUUCUUGGCCAUUAAAUCAUCAGCAACAUGCUCCCUCUCAGAAGUGACACGUCCUUACCCCCUUUUGGUGGAUAAUCUUUGCAGACAACUCUUUACAGCCUUCGUGUUAACCAAGAAUAUUGAGAUUGUGGAUGAUCUUCUCACAUUUAAAGAGCUCGGGGUGCAUUUGAAAUCUCAAGGAUGCCAUAUUGUGAAUCUUUCUUCACACGAAUUUUCUGUAAAACAUGGAAUUGCUGGCUGUUUUCGAAGUUUGCUAAGACAGCUUGUCACGUUUGCCUCAAAUACACCUGAUAUUUCUAUCCUGGCAUCCUGGUAUAGUGAAGAAGCUAACUAUGACAAACCAAUUGUGGUUAUAAUCGAGGAUGUGGAGCAGUGUAGCAGUAUGGUCUUGGCUGAAUUCAUUACUUUAUUAAGUGAAUGGGUGGUUAAGAUACCAGUUCUCAUGAUUAUGGGAGUUGCAACCACUGUUGAUGCCCCUCGUAAGCUACUGCCCUCAAAUGCACUUCAACAUUUGCAGCCUAGAAAAUUCACCUUGGGAUCCCCUGUUGAGAGACUGGAUGCAAUCAUUGAAGCUGCCUUUGUCAAACCAUUCUAUGGUUUUAAUGUUGGUUACAAGGUUGCAUUGUUCUUAAGAAACUAUUUCUUACGGCAUGAUGGGACAAUAACAUCCUUUGUGAGGGCUUUAAAGAUUGCAUGCAUGAAGCAUUUCUCGAUGGAGCAAUUGAGUUUCUUGUGCAAAGGCAUAAUUGAUGAAGAUAGUAAGGUUUGGGAGAAGACUUGUCAAUCAUUGCCUGAAGGCCUCCUAAAGUAUGCUGCCAAUAUUUCAUCUAUUAAGAGGAAUAACAUUGAUGGAAACGUUGGUGAUGCUUUAGCCGAUGGGAUAUCUGAAUUGAUGAGAUUAAGAAAUAAUUGGAGCGCUGUGGUUAUGUGCUUAUUUGAAGUGGGAAAGUAUGGAAAAAUCCAGCUACUUGACAUCUUCUGCGAGGCACUUGAUCCAUCUUUACCAAAUUGUAAGGCAUUGAAGCGCUGCUUGGAAGAAGGGAAGGAUCACAGACAACCUUUACGUAGGGAUGCUAUUCUGCGUGAUAGUGAAUCUUUGAAUUCAAGGGAAGGAACAUUCAUUGCGCAGGCAGUACGGAAGGUGAGAGAUCUGCCAUCUGCAUCAUUACAUCAACUGCUUAAGUUUUGGGCAAGACAUACAGAAGAAAUUGCUGAGGUCAAUCACAAAGUUCAAGCGCUUUUGUCAACAUUUGAAGUUGAAGUUGAUGGGCAAGUUGUCAAACAAGAAGAAAAUGGGAUGAAAAGAAACCCAGUAUCUCAAAGGCUUCCGAAUAUGGAAAAGGAUAAAAGCCAAGUUGCACAUGAGAAAGCUGCAAUGCUUGCUAUUUCCAUGAUCAGGGAUUACAUGGUACCAAUAGAAUCUUCUCCUUUCCAUGAGAUUUUCUGUUUCAAACAUGUUGAUGUACUGCAAUCUGCUUUAAUUGGAGAUCCACGGAAAACGAUUCAGACAGAUCUUCUCAGAUCACACUCUUAUCUUCAAUGUAGUUGCUGCAGUGCCAGCUUAACCCCGUCUAUGCAUGAUACUUCCAUUCUGUAUAAUUUGGCUCAAGAGCAUGGCGAUCUUAUAAACGUACACGACUGGUAUGAAUCUUACAAAGCAAUACUUGUUGGGUCAAGCACCAAAAGCAAGGCUAAGCAAAAACAAUCACCAACUCCGAAGAAGAGAAAGGUCACUGAUGAACCCAAUCGCAUUGAGGAAGCUUCAAUUCAAGCUAGAUUUUGUAGAGCAGUUACGGAGCUCCAAAUUACAGGCCUUCUUCGAAUGCCCAGCAAGAGGCGGCCUGAUUAUGUCCAAAGAGUUGCAUUUGGACUUUAACUAGUUCAUGGCGCCAACCUAUUUGACUGUUUAUUUAUUUCCAUGAGGAUUAUACCACCCUCAAAUUGGGUGAAUUUGAUUAUAAGGGUUUGUAUGCUAUGCUGGCAUUCAUGCUUCAUGUAUCUGAAUUCAUUUGGCCUUGGAGCACUGCAAUGAUGCACUUCACCCUCCUUUGUUGACAUUGGUUGCUUGAGGAGCUGCUACUUUAUUCUUUCAAACCCAAACACAUUCCCAUGACAAGAUGUCUCAUUUAUGCUACCCAUAAAUGAAAAGUUUGGAAGUCCAUUGUCGCGUCAACUGGUGUUCACUUGAGAGAGAGAGAAACCACUUUAGGGCUGGCUGGGCGAGGUCUACAACCGGCUCGGCCCCACCUGACGCUUUUUUUCUUAUUGUUUUUUAUUUACUUUAAAUGUAUUUGGCUUGGCUUGGCCCAACCCGGCUCUAAUAGCGCCAGGAACUCUUCAGCCCAAUCAGGGUUGGGCUGGGCUAAUGUUGGCUUUGUAGGGAAUAGGGCCAGUCAGCUCUGCCCAAGCCCGGCAUGUUGCGACCCCCAUGAGGGACAAGGCAUUUCGGUUCUGUGACUCGAUUUCAGGUCAAACAUUAUUGUCAAAAAAUUGUAUACUCCUGUCGGAGAAGGUGCCGCCAUGGGGCUCAUGUUGCCACUCUUGAUUAU